UCCCAUAUGGUCUAGCGAUUAGGAUUUCUGGUUUUCACCCAGACGGCCCGGGUUAGACUCCCAGUAUGGGAA
rfam:Nematostella vectensis strain CH2 x CH6 NEMVEscaffold_224_Cont19623, whole genome shotgun sequence.